rnacentral:lncRNA from 1 species
AUAAAAAAUAAAAUUCCAUUUCCCCCCACCCCACUCCAUGUACGAAUAAAGUGCAAAAGGGGGAGUAGUAAUAAGUCAUAUAGAAUCAAUGGAUUCAUGAUAAAGUAAAAUUCCUCGAUGACAUAUUUUAUCAAUCAAUUAAUUUUUUUUGGCUGAUAGAGGGAUCAAAUGGUAUAUAGUUCAUUUGUUGGUAGCUUGGA